UUUCAUAGCUAACUCUUUGUUAUAUUUAACUUACUCUUCUUUGCUUCUUUGCUUCUUGCUCAUAACGAUAACUUGAAAGCCUUACGUUCAGAUAGAUAAUCAUUGACCAGUUCAUUGACCAGUUCUUUGUUAAUUUAGAAAUGCUGAAACAAAAACGCAAGCAAUCCAAAGAUGAAGACAACGAUUCAUCCUCGCGAAAGAGAAGAAAAGCUGACCUCAGUAAGCCUGUCAGUUUUGUCUCCACAGGUAAGGCAUAUGCGUGAGUCUAUACAUGUAGGAACUGCUGAUUCGAUUUGAAUAUGUUAUUUGAUUAGUCUGAUCAUAGGAUAGGUUGAGUCUACUACUAUUUCUGCCUUGCUUUGACUCGAAAUUCCUGGUGUUUUCACCUGCAAAUGAAUAGAAAUCACAUCCUUUCUCUUUCUCCUAUACAAAGAAUACAGUUAACCUCAUUUCAAUAUCAUAGAUUUGGAAUUUCAUAGCUAACUCUUUGUUAUAUUGCUCCAUUGGUAAUUGAUUGUGCCUUAAUUUCUGCAGCUACCAUGACAGAGCCAGGGUCUUCUCGAUCUAGUCCAGAAGGGGCCUAUGAUGUCUUCUUGAGUUUUAGAGGAGAAGACACUCGCAAGACAUUUACAGAUCAUCUAUAUGCUGCCUUAGAUCAAGCAGGAAUCCGCGCUUUUCGAGAUGAUGAUGAACUUCCGAGAGGAGAAGAAAUCUCCGAUCAUCUCCUCAGGGCAAUUCAAGAAUCAAAGAUAUCCAUAGUUGUCUUCUCAAAAGGAUAUGCUUCUUCUAGAUGGUGUCUCAAUGAACUUGUAGAGAUUCUUGAGUGCAAAAAGAGGAAAACCGGUCAGAUUGUUCUUCCUAUAUUCUAUGACAUUGAUCCUUCAGAUGUGAGAAAACAGAACGGCAGUUUUGCAGAAGCAUUUGUUAAACAUGAAGAGCGUUUUGAAGAGAAGUUGGUGAAGGAGUGGAGAAAAGCUCUUGAGGAGGCUGGAAAUCUAUCUGGAUGGAAUCUCAAUGAUAUGGCAAAUGGGUAUGCCUUUUUUCCAAAUUUAUGGAGUCAAUAUACUUUAUAUUUUUCAAUGUGAAACAAUAAAAUACUUAAUUGACUGGCUAUCAAUGACUGGCUUUUGUCUAUGAGCAGGCAUGAAGCAAAAUUUAUCAAAGAGAUUAUCAAGGAUGUGUUGAAUAAAUUAGAUCCCAAGUACUUAGAUGUUCCUGAGCUCCUAGUAGGUAUGGAUCGGCUUUCUCGCAAUAUUUUUGACUUUCUAAGUACUGCAACACAUGAUGUACGCAUUGUGGGCAUACAUGGGAUGCCAGGAAUAGGAAAGACAACUAUAGCAAAAGUUGUAUUUAAUCAACUCCGCUAUAGAUUCGAGGGAAGCUGCUUUUUUUCGAAUAUCAAUGAAACAUCAAAACAAUUCAAUGGUCUGGCUCUUUUACAAGAGCAACUUCUUCAUGAUAUUUUAAAACAAGAUGUUGCUAACAUCAAUUGUGUCGAUAGAGGAAAGGUUCUGAUCAAAGAACGACUUCGUCGCAAAAGAGUUCUUGUUGUUGCUGAUGAUGUGACUCGUCAGGACCAGCUAAAUGCUUUGAUGGGAGAGCGAGGUUGGUUUGGUCCCGGAAGUAGAGUAAUUAUUACAACAAGAGAUUCAAGUUUUCUACAUAAAGCGGAUCAAACAUAUCAAAUCGAAGAAUUGAAACCAGAUGAGUCCUUUCAACUUUUCAGCUGGCAUGCCUUGCGGGACACCAAGCCAGCAGAAGAUUAUAUUGAGCUUUCGAAGGAUGUAGUUGAUUACUGUGGAGGAAUUCCUUUGGCUCUUGAGGUUAUGGGUGCUUGUCUGUCCGGGAAAAACAGAGAUGGUUGGAAAUCUGUAAUUGACAAAUUGAGAAGAAUUCCAAACCGCGAUAUCCAAGGAAAGCUUAGAAUAAGUUUUGACGCACUGGACGGUGAAGAACUACAAAAUGCAUUCCUUGACAUCGCUUGCUUCUUUAUUGAUAGAAAGAAAGAGUACGUCGCAAAAGUGCUAGGAGCCCGUUGCGGUUACAAUCCAGAAGUUGAUUUGCAAACUCUCCAUGAGAGGUCUCUGAUUAAAGUAUUGGGAGAGACGGUAACCAUGCAUGAUCUAUUACGAGACAUGGGAAGGGAGGUCGUUCGUGAAAAGUCUCCAAAACAACCUGGAGAGAGGACCAGAAUUUGGAAUCAAGAGGAUGCAUGGAAUGUACUUGAGCAGCAGAAGGUAAGAGCUCAAUGCAUACAUGAAAGCAUAGUCAUGCGUAUUUUCUAGUCAAACUUAUUACAAGUAAUUGUAUGAAAGUUGUAUUGAUUUAUUUUUUAGGGUACGGAUGUCGUAGAGGGUCUUGCACUGGAUGUCAGAGCAUCAGAAGCUAAAUCACUUAGCGCAGGAUCAUUUGCAGAAAUGAAAUGCUUAAAUUUACUCCAAAUCAAUGGAGUUCAUCUCACCGGAUCCUUCAAACUGCUUUCUAAAGAGUUGAUGUGGAUUUGUUGGCUUCAAUGUCCUUUGAAAUAUUUUCCAUCUGAUUUUACCUUGGAUAAUUUAGCUGUUCUUGAUAUGCAGUACAGUAACCUCAAAGAACUAUGGAAGGGAAAAAAGGUGAGAAACAUGCUGCAAUCCCCAAAAUUUCUCUAUUAUGUAAUUUAUAUUUACAUGUUACAACUUCUUAAGAUUAAUUUUCAUUAUUUUGCGCUCUAUUAUACAGAUUCUCAACAGGCUAAAAAUCCUUAAUCUCAGUCAUUCUCAGCACCUUAUUAAAACACCAAACUUACACAGUUCAAGUCUAGAGAAAUUAAUUCUGAAAGGUUGCUCGAGUUUAGUUGAGGUGCAUCAAUCAAUUGAAAAUUUGACGAGCCUUGUUUUCUUGAAUCUCAAGGGAUGUUGGAGGCUGAAGAAUCUCCCUGAAAGAAUUGGCAAUGUAAAGUCUCUUAAAACUCUGAAUAUUUCUGGGUGUUCACAACUUGAGAAAUUGCCAGAACGCAUGGGUGAUAUGGAAUCCUUAACUAAGCUGCUAGCUGAUGGGAUUGAAAAUGAGCAAUUUCUCUCUUCAAUUGGACAAUUAAAGCAUUGCAGAAGGUUAUCAUUGCAUGGAGACAGUUCGACGCCACCAAGUUCUUCUUUGAUUUCAACAGGUGUUUUGAAUUGGAAACGUUGGCUGCCAGCAUCUUUCAUUGAAUGGAUAUCAGUGAAACAUCUUGAGCUUUCUAAUAGUGGUUUGUCUGAUCGCGCAACUAACUGUGUUGAUUUCAGUGGUUUGUCUGCUCUAGAAAAAUUGGAUCUAACAGGAAACAAAUUCUCUAGGCUGCCUUCUGGGAUCGGCUUCCUUCCCAAGCUAACGUAUUUGUCUGUUGAGGGAUGCAAAUAUCUUGUAUCAAUCCCAGAUCUUCCCUCAAGUUUAGGGCAUUUGUUUGCAUGUGAUUGCAAAUCAUUGAAAAGAGUAAGAAUACCAAGCGAGCCAAAAAAAGGACUAUUUAUAAAGCUAGAUGACAGUCAUUCGUUAGAAGAGUUUCAGGGCAUUGAAGAUCUAAGUAAUUGUUUCUGGUAUAUUCGUGUUGAUGACCGCAGUCAUUCACCAAGUAAAUUACUAAAGAGCGUUGUUGAGGUACUAUUUCUUUCCGUCUCUCUUUCGCACAAAAAGAAACACACACAAUUGGCACAUACAUUGAUUAAUGUCUAAAAUCUCAGCAUUCCUUGAAAUCAAUAUGUAUAUAGGCAAUAAUUAUUAUUAUUAUUAUUAUAUUUUAAAAAACAAAUAUCAUGUUUUAUAAUAUUUUUUAUUUUUCUUAUUUAAUCUAAAAAAUUAAAUAUUAUCUUUAAUAAUAUUUUUUAUUAAAUAUUUAAAGUCUGAUUGGUUUUAUUUUUUAUUUCUUGAUUUUAUGAUAAUAUAUUUAUACAGUUAAUGUGCAACGGUCGUCACGGGUAUUUUAUUCGCCACACUCCUAGUGAGAUGCCAAACUGGAUGAGCUACAGGGGAGAAGGAUGCUCAUUGUCAUUCCAUAUACCUCCAGUCUUUCAAGGCUUAGUUGUUUGGUUUGAUAAGGAUGAUCAUUAUUACUUCCACACUGACAUUAUUAUUAUUAUAAGAAAUAAAAGCAACGGUAUUCAAUUGUUUGAAGAAGAACGAACAGUACCAGAAAAUGAAAACAAUACCUCCAAAUUAGUAGAACGAACAGUAUCAGAACGAACAGUACCUCCAAAUUAGUAGGGUACAUCUCUUUUUGCCGAGUUGAUAUGAAUUCGUUAGCUUGAUGAAAACAACCGAAAGUUCUGAAAGCAUCCUUAAUUAGUAUAAUUAGUAAAGUCUUGUUAGUUUUGGCUAUAAGUUUUUGUUAUGUAUUAUUGCAUGGUUUUUAUUAUUUGUUGGCCCUUGUUUUUUUUAUAUACAACUUUUAUUUUUAUUGUCGGUUUGUCAUUAGCUUUAUGGCACUAACACUUAUUAAUAAUAAAUCUUGGACUAUUAUUAAAUAAAGGAAAAAUAAAAACAUUGUUAAAAUACCAAACUUGCAUAUUUCAAACUUAGAGAAAGCCGAUGAUAAUAAUCCAAUUUAGAAAAUAAUUAAUUUGUCCUUGUAGUAUUAGAAAAUAGUAUUUAAUCCUUAUGUUUUCAUAUUCAUCUAUGAUUUAAUCUCUUACAUCCAUUUCAUUUUCUUAUUAUUUUAAUCCAAAAAAAACUAAAAAUCACAUAUCAUGAAUACCAAUUAGAACGGAAGUGAAGACCAAUUAGAAGACUAUAAUCCAUAAUUCUCUCUGCUUCUAAGAAUUCACAGUCCCUAUAAAUUUGACUGAGAAAGAAAGAACUGAAGACAAACACAUGUUAACCUCUCAAGAUUAGUGCCUCACAAAAGAACAAGAUAAAGGAAACACCGCAAUUUUUCAUGAUAAAAUCCAAAGGAUUGGUACUUUGGUGUUUGUGGCGCUGGUAUAUGAAAGAACAGAGAUCAAGAGAUGAAAUCCCUCUAUACCGCUGUUAUUCCUUUCAAGGUGCGUAUCAGGUGUUUGAAAAACUUCCUCAACUUAAAGUAGAAAGGUCUUGUUUACAACGUUUUUUAGUCCUUUUCAAGUCUUCCAAUGUGUUGCAUUUACUGAAUAUGAUAGUGGGAAUUUAGUUAUCACCUACUAUCUUCUAAGACGCAUCUCUGUCUCCUCUUCUUCUUUAUAAAAUUAUUCCCUUCUAGUUCUCUAAUGUACUUGAUGUCCCGGAAGUGUGGCUUCUUCAUAUGAAGAAUACGUUAAGAUUCAAUUAUGAUUUUAGAUUCCAUUGCCUACAAAUUUGAACCAUGAUAAUGUAGCAUACGGACCAGUCAUGCCUAUCUACAUUAAUUAGAAUAGGCCUCCACCCUCUUAGGUUUUUAUUGAGAUUAGGGAUUCUAUUGUAGCUCUUUUUUCUCCUUUUAUUAUAACAAAAUAAUAUGUAUGGAUUAAUUUUCGUAUACAGAAACUAAGUCCUUUAAUCAAAUUUUAGAUUGACCAUCCUCUAUUUUUUAACUGUUUGAUACUUGUUUAAAAAAAAUACUAGUAAUGAGGGCAUGAAAUUAAGAAGGUGUGUGGGAAUGUGGUUGUGGUUGUUUUUGAAAAUAUAUUUUACUUAAAAAUAUAUCAAAAUAUUAUUUUUUUUAUUUUUAAAAAUUAUUUUUAAUAUUAACAUAUUAAAAAUAAAACGGUUAAAGAUAAAGUCCCAAAACAUAUUCUGCCCUUCUCCCCAAUGAACGUGGGCAGGCUUGACAUUUACUCGUUUACAAAACUGAGCCCAGUGGCAAAGAGGCCUGCUUAUUAUGCCUUUAGCUGAGACUGCUGUAGAAAUAAGUAGGCCUGAUCAAUUGGACUAAAUUUUUGUUUUGCUGUAGAAACACGUUUUUCCUUUGUGAGAAAAAGCAAGUUCAAAAAAACAGAAGAAGCAGAAUUUGAAAAAAAGAAGAGAAAAAAGAAAGAUGCUUUAGUUUUUAAUCCAUAAUGUCCAAAGUGACUGGGUAGAUAAGAUCCAGCCCAUUUGGGUCCAUCAAAGUCAUUUGUGGUAGCUUAUGACUAAUGUGCCCAAAGGAUGGCGGUUCAGUAACGGUCCAAGUAAAGAAACUAAUCUGGAAAAGGAAAUCAUGCCCAUCAGAAUUCAGAAGAUCAUUCUGCGUCCAUUUCACAUUAGCAAAAUGAAUCAAAACACCCAUUAGAAUUUUGAAGUCAUGUAUCUUCGAUGAAUUGCAAGCCAUAUCCAAAAGUUUCAUCAUCCAUAUGCCAAGCAGCAUGCAUGCAUGCAAAAUAUGGUGAGACAGAGUCAUCAGAUAAAAAAGAAAAAUAGUAGUGGAAUAAUUCUUUUAAUAUUUAAAAAUUAAAAAAUACUGUGUAACUGUUUUGUAUAAAUUGUAAAGUCAAGGACUCUUUUGUGCUUGGUAAAAUACCUCACACUAAAAUUAAUAAAUAAUAACACGAGAAGGACCAAAGUUAAUAAAUAAUAGCAUGCACGAAACUUUACAAUACAGUAAAAAAAUUGUUACAGUAAAAGCACAGAGAGAAGAACGGUUCCAUAAAAAGAUGUGGUAAGUCUAAUGUUGGGAGACUGCUCUUCCAAGGAUCCUACGGUUGCGAGCCAUGUGAAUGCAAAAGGAGCCAGUUGUUGCAACUCCAAAUUCCUUGCUUUUUUUCCUCUACGUACGUGUUACCUUUAACCUUUUAUAAUUAUGAUUGUUGCGUUGCUAAUUAUAAUUUGCAAGAAAGAUGAUGAACAUCUUUUAGUGAAUUAAGUUCAAUUCAAAAUAACAAAAUAAGGUUUGUUGAGGCUUAUCUUCGAACCUCAUUUUAGGAUUAAUAGACGAAAAUCAAAAAGUCCUGUGCAAAUUAUACAAAAUUUAUUAUUAAUAAUCAAUAUUUAUGAUUGAUCAUCAACAUUAAAUAAUGGCUUAUUUUCUAGUAUAAACUAUGUUUGAAAUAAAAUUGAUAACAGACACACAAUUAAUGAUGGUAUUGUAUAUUUUGAGACGAAAUUAAGGUUUUUCAAUUAAUGCUAAAACAUAUCAUGGUUUUAAUAGUUGGAUGGUACAUUAUGUAAAAUAUAAAAAAAUAUUUAUUUUUUUGAUAUACAUAGUAAUAAUAAAUUAGAUGAUAAUAACAAAAAAAUAGAAAUUAGUUUGAAUAAAUAGUACCGGUUCAUAUUAUGAUAUAUCUAGAGAAGAAGUUGGAAGAAUAGAAUGAAAUCAAAUAUUAAUAUAAAAAAAAAUAUUGAAGUAAUGAGUACAUGAAGCAAGAUAAUUAGUGGUUGAAUAUAGAUUAUAACUAAUUAUUUGUUCUGAUGAAGAUUACCAAUUAAAUACAAACAAAAAAAAUGUUUCUAAAAUAAAAGGAUAUGAAUUAACUAUAGAAACUAAAGAGUGGAUCGGUUAUCUUUAACGUUUGCAAAUAAUUAAAAGAGAUAUAAAUUUUGUGAUGGGUUAUGAUUAACGCAGAAGCAAAUAAAAGAGGAACAGAAAUUAUAAGCAAAUAUUGUUUCCUGGGCGGAAGUGUUUGGCACUGUCGAUAAAAGUUUUUUGAAAAAAAUUAAUUUUAUUUUUAUUUUUUUAUUUUAAAUUAAUAUAUAUUUUAUGUUUUCAGAAUAUUUUGAUGUAUUAAUAUCAAAAAUAAUUAUUCAAAAAUAAAAAAAAAUCUAACCAUUAGAGCUUCUCUCUCAAUCGUCUUUCUUUUUUUUAAUAACUAGAUUAUUAAAAUUACAAGAAUUAAGUUAAUAUUUCAAAAAAUUUCAAAAAAAUAUUUUGUUUUCUUUUAGUAUCUGGGAUUAUGAAUUUAUACGUAAAAUGUAUUCUUGAUAUUAAAAAAAAAGAUAAGGAUCUUCUUACUGAGGAAGACUUAUCUUGAACCUUAGACAUACUAAUUAGAAAACAUGACAAUACCUUAAUUUUUCUCAGACAAUUAAACAAUGCAAUUGUGUAUUUGGGGUGCUAAUAUAUUUUUUUUUACACAAUCAGUUUUCAUGCUCGAUCUCUAAGAUUAAUUAGGGUUUCUAGUAACUAAAAUACUAAGUAAAUAUUUUCUAGUAAAUUAAUUUCAAUUCAAAAUAACAAAAUAAGGUUUGUUGAGGCUUAUCGUGAAACCUUGUUUUGGAUGAAUUGAUCACGAGAAUGAGAAAUCAUGUGUAAAUUAUACAAAAUAUAUUAUUAAUCAUCAAUAUUUAUUAUUGAUUAUCAAUAUUGAAUAAUGGUUUUUUAUAAUAUAAAUUAUGUUUAAAAUAAAAUUGAUAAAAUUAAAAUUCAUGAAACACAAUUAAUGAUGGGAUCUACAUCUUUUGAAUUUAUUAGAAUGAACGUGUAAUUAAAGGACGAACCACAUACCAUUACAUGCGUUUUCAAUUGGAUUUUUUAUUUAAAUGAAAAAAAAUCUGUUUUAUAUGAAAAAAAUAUUUAUUUUUUUGAUAUACCUAAUAAUAAUAAAUUAGAGAAUAGUAACAAGAAAAUAGGAAUUAGAUAGACUAAACGGUACCAAUACUAUAUUCUUAAUAAAAAAAAUAUUUUUAAUAAAUAUAAAAGAUGGAUGAAAAUUGUUGCUACUCGAUUUUUUACCUAUAUUUUAAAUAAUUUUUCAGAAAAAAAUCAAAAUAGUAAAAACACAACGAAAAUCUCAAAAAAUGUAUUUUUGAUAUAUUUGUAUUGUUUUUAGCAUUUUUAAUAUUAUCUCAAAAAAAUUUUAAUUUUCAAAAGUAUUUUAAACGCGUUUAAUUUUUAAUGCGUAAAAUUUACAAUUACUGAUUUGCCUUAUUAAGUUGAUAUUGAUAUGAUUUGUUUUUAAAAAAAUUCAAAAUAUAACAAAUAAAAAAAUAUCAAAAUUUAUAUAUAUAAAAAAAAAUGAGGAACCAGUUUGGAAAUCUAAUAAGAUUUUGGCUAUAAAUACAGUGAAAAAUGUCAACAUCCGGGGGGAAUUGAGAGGAAUAGUGGCGUAGAAAAUUUUGGGGGGAAACAAAAGUAAAGAACCCUAGACCUCUUCCUUUUGGCAGUGUGGUAGUGGUUGCUUUUCAAAUAAUUUUUCGUGCCGAAAUACAUGCCAAUGAUAUUUUUUUAUUUUUUAAAAAUCAUUUUUGACAUCAGCACAUCAAAACGAUCCAAAAAAUACAAACCACACUCAAUUUUAACAAAAAAAAAAACAAAUUUGAAAUUUGGUGAAAAGCAGGUUGAACAGCAGAGCCAAACAUGCUAGACAGGAGCCGCCGCCUCCCUCUCAAAAAAUCCAGAGAAACCCUCCCUCUCUAAAAAAAAACAGGAGAAACCCUACUUUGGGGUUUUGAACUUUCGGCUUCUUCUCCCUGCAGCCGGACAAGGCUGCCCCCUCGCUUUGCCAAAAACGAGGAGAACCCCACAAAACACACAGACCCCCCCCCCCCAAAAAAAAAAAAAAAACCAUCCCCAGAGAAACCAACCCCCAGCCGGCGACCCCCAGCCUUAACAACAAAGAAAGACACGGCUGGUCCCCCCUCUCCACUGAUCUUCUCCCUCACCAACCUUCCCCUCUCUCGGCCGCUCACUUCCCCUCCGUCAAAAACAGAGACCGGCCGCCCCCCCCCUCUCCUUUGAGGCCAGGAACCAGAGAAACCAGAGAGCUCCGGACAGGCCUCCCUCUCCCUCGACCACAACCUCCAUCCUCCCUCUCUGUAAUCCAGCCCCCACAAACCCACAAGACAGCCCCGGCUCCCUUCCUCAUCGCCGUUUUCUCCAACUCUGACCGACCCCUCUCUCAGCCACCGAGAACGCCGCCUAGCAGCCCGCAGGCCCUCGUCCUCACCAAGACCCGAACCGGCCACCGGCAGCUGUACAGACACGACAGAAGCUCCGCCGCCGGCCGCCCCUUGCACAUACCGUCGGCCACCUGAAACAGAAGGUGAAAAAAAAAGAAAAAAACAGAUCUGCAGAAGAAACAGAUCUGAAACAAGGGAAGACCGAAACAGAUCUAAAGAAGAAGAAUAAAAAUCAACUGCUUUGUUGCGUUUUUGGUUGUUCUUGCAGGUCACUGCCGAGGAAAGGAAGAGGAGGAGAAGUUAAGCCAGAUCCACAUGUUCACAGUUUCUGCUUGCGGUGACGCGUGAACCCACACGCCGCCAGUGGCAUGGUGCGUGGAGAAGACGCUCCGCCACUGUUCCCAUCCCCAGAACCCUUUCAGCACUGUUCCCGAGGUUUUUUUUUAUUUAAUUUUCAGAUGUUGAUAUGUGUUUUUAGAUUAUUUUUAUUUGAUUUAUUUUGAAUUCUUGGUAUUUUGUAAUAUGGAAAUGUGGGUGCACGAGAAAAACAUAAUAAAAAGGAAUUUAUGUGUUUGUAUUUUUUUUAUGUAAGUUAUUGAAUUAUAAAAUCAGAAAGAUAAAAAAAAAUAAAUUUAAUGUUUUAAUUUGUAUAUGGUCAAGUAUAUGAUGAUAAUUAAAAUUAUGUUGUAUUUUUCAUAUUUUUCAUAAAAAUAUAAGAACAUGUUUCUAUAUAUUUUCUGGUGGAAGCUUUAAAAUUUGAUUAAUAUUUUAUUUUUUAAAAUUGUAUCUUCAAAUUAAAUUAUGAAGCAACUUAUCUCAGGUAAGAUGUGUUAGAGGUGUUAAUAUUUUUUCAAUUAUAAUCAAUUUUUUAUCCUUGAAUCUUUGACAAGACUAACAUAUCCAGGUUUUUUAGUAGGUGAUGACUUUCAAGAACAAGCAAACGAAGAAAAUCACUAAUUGACGCCGUGCAGGGAACGUGCGACAAAAAUAUUAGAGAAUAAAAUUGAGAUAUAGAAUCUCUUUUUUAUAUUUCUAAAAACUUAAUUUCUGUUGUAACCUAUUUUUGAGUCCCACACUAAAAUGGAGAAUAAACAAAUUUGGAAGAAAUCUAAAAAAAUAAUAGCAAUGAGAAGAGGAUGCCGAAACACCUAGAAAAUAGCUAGAAAUUGGUUGAGGAGGUUCAAAAAUACAAAAAUUAAAAUUUGACAGUAUAUAUUUGACUGAUGAGAGCUCUAUUGAAAAAGAAAAUUUAAUUUGAGAAAAAAAAGUUUAAAAUCAGAUGUUUAUGGAUUUAAUUAAUUUUAUUGAAGGAUUUAUAAAGAGUUUGAUUGCAAGAAAAAUUGAUUUUUAAGUCAAUUUAGACUUUAAUUGAAAGAAAUUAAAGUUCUGAGGUCAAAUUACAAUUUUUAAGAGUUAAUUUGGUCAAAUUAGGAGUUUAAUUACAUAAAUAUUAAAGUUUGAUGGCUAAUUAGGGACUUGUUUAAAUAAAUCCAAAACUAAUGACCAAAAGUUCUAUAACUCUAGAUAUAGUUAACAAUCUGAUGAGUGUUCAGACAGUAACAGUUCAAUGUCGAGACAGUAACAGUUGGACAAUAACAGUUAGACAGUAACAGUUCAAUGUUUAGACAGUAACAGUUGGACAGUAACAGUUCAAUAUCUAGACAGUAACGGUUGGACAGUAACAGUUCAAUGUCUAGACAGUAACAGUUCAAAUUAGACAGUAACAAUUAGACUUUCACGUGAAUACUAUAUGUAAGAAUAUAAAAGAACUGAGUCAUGCGAACACUUGCACGUUGAGACACUUAUGCAAUUUAAAGUUCUUCUGGUGAAUGCAAUUACAAUAAAUACCAUGUUCAAUGUAAAUAAAGUCCAGCGUAUUUACAAGAUUAGCUACAGCUAAUGGCAUCCGUGAUAGGAUUGCCGGGAAAUGAAUUACAAGAGUAGCUUGGGCUAAUAAUGUCCAUGUUGGGACGCCCGAGAACGAUUGAUAAGACUUGAUUUGUAAAGGGUAUCAAUGUUUGAAUGACUUGGGAAAUUGAUAAAUAUAAGUUGACUGUUAUAAUUCUUAUGGAUCCGAUAGAAAAUUUAUACUUCAUUCGUAUACCUUACAUGUGCACAUAUAUAUUUCUUUUGCAAACAUAAUGGUAUGUUUAUUUAUGUAACAAGGCCAUCAAAUAUCCAAGGAGAUCAUUAGUUUAGGGCUCUAUUUUGUCAAUCUUAUGUAAAUAUUUAACUUAAGCAUAAUGGAAUUAACGUGUUUAUGCAGUAUGCUUUUGUGUAAACCUUGAUGUAUUUAUAAAAGUCCAGCUUAACAUGUAGUACAUUAGUUAUCUUGUAAUUAACCCUCUUGAAAUGUUUAAGAAUACUUAAUAAAUUGUAAAUGCUCUCUUUGCAUGUUAUUCCCUUUUCUUUUAAAUUUUAUGACAUGAUAUAUAGGCUAUGUUCAUAUUGAACUUACUAGUAGGAUAUAUAUAUAUAUAUAUAUAUAUAUAUAUAUAUAUAUAUAUAUAUAUAUAUAUAUAUAUAUAUAUAUAUAUAUAUUGUGUGGAUUGUAUGAGUUGUUGAAUAUUGAUAAUUGAAAUAAGGUCUGGAAUUAUGGGACCUUGUGAUGAUGGGUUGAUUGAGUAAAUUGGUAGUAGUCGAUAAUUUGGAAUGUCCUAAAUACAAACGAAACUUUGCCGAAUUUUUGGUAGAUUUAAAAAAAAAAAAUUACCCUCAAAUUAAGAACAUAUGUUGGGAUCUUUUAACGUUGAUCAAGUCGUACAGUCGGGUCUGUUACAUAUACCGUAAAGAUACAAAUCCAGUAUUAAAAUACGUGGUUUUCACCAAAAUAUUGCAAAAGUUAAAUAAAAGAAAUAUAUUAUUUUCAUGCAUAUGGCCAACUCUUUAAAAAAAAAUUAUCAUAUCGUAUUUUCAUACCAUAAAAAAAAUCUCAAAAAUAUUUGUUAGCAUGCAUUUUGGCUUUAAUAACUAGUUUGUUAAAGUCAUGAGAACUAUGCUAACAUUUUAAAAAUUUCAAAAAAAUUAUCUUGUUUUAUUUUAAUAUCCGGGAUUAUGAACUUAAUCGUAAGUCGUACUCCUAAUAUUAAAAUUAGUUUCUUUGGUUGAUAUAGAACGGUUAGGUUUUACCCAAUUAGAUAAUAAUCUCUUUAUCGAGGAAAAUUUUUCUUAAACCAUAGACAGACCAACAACUAGAAAACACAAUGAUACCUUAGCCUAUAUCAGACAAUAAAACAAUGCAGCUUACCUUAGGUAGGGCGUAUUUUGGGUGCUAAUACUUUUUUUUUACGCAAUCAGUCUCCGUACCCGAUCUUUGAGACCAAUUAGGGUUUCAGUUACCAAAAUACUAGGUGGUGACUCUCAUUUUUCCAUUCCACUGAUAAAAGACAAGAUUUUCUUGCCUCCCUAUAUUUGCCAGAUAGACAUACAUGAGAGUGGAUGUUAUUCACCGUGACACCGCACACGUGUCACAAUUACAAUUCCAUUAUAAUUUGUUCCUUAAAAGUAUUCAAAAUAUAGUAUUAGAAUUACGUAAUGCUAGGUUUUAAUAUAUAAUUUUUUAUAUUGUUAAAGAGUCUCUCCUGGACCAAAUAAUAAAAAUAUUGUAUAACUCUUAUGUAUGAAUCGUAAAUCCAGGGAUUGUUUUGGAUCCUGAAUUGGCUGAUUUGAUUUGAAUAUAUUAUAUGAUUAGUCCAUUUAUAGGUUAACUCUACUAUUGCUGCCUUGCAUUGACUUUACUCUGCAGCUAACUUCUCUGUCCCAUUGCUGCCAUUUCAUAGCUAACUCUUUGUUAUAUUUAACUUUCUCUUCUUUGCUUCUUUCUCGUUUUAAUUUCAUUUCUUGCUCAUAACGAUAACUUGAAAGCCUCACGUUCAGAUAGAUAAUCAUUGACCAGUUCAUCCUAUAUCAUUCUAUUUAAUUUAGAAAUGCAGAAAGAAAAACGCAAGCAAUCCAAAGAUGAAGAAAACGAUUCAUCCUCGCGAAAGAGAAGAAAAGCUGACCUCA
rnacentral:lncRNA from 1 species